rnacentral:rRNA from 1 species
GAUGAACGCUGGCGGCGUGCCUAAUACAUGCAAGUCGAGCGAACAGACGAGGAGCUUGCUCCUCUGACGUUAGCGGCGGACGGGUGAGUAACACGUGGAUAACCUACCUAUAAGACUGGUAUAACUUCGGGAAACCGGAUCUAAUACCGGAUAAUAUAUUGAACCGCAUGGUUCAAUAGUGAAAGACGGUUUUGCUGUCACUUAUAGAUGGAUCCGCGCUGCAUUAGCUAGUUGGUAAGGUCACGGCUUACCAAGGCAACGAUGCGUAGCCGAAGUGAGAGAGUGAUAGGCCACACUGGAACGGGGACACGGACCAGACUCCUACGGGAGGCAGCAGUAGGGAAUCUUCGGCAAUGGGCGAGAGCCUGACGGAGCAACGCCGAGUGAGUGAUGAAGGUCUUCGGAUCGGAAAACUCUGUUAUUAGGUAAGAACAAAUGUGUAAGUAACUGUGCACGUCGUGACGGUACCUAAUCAGAAAGCCACGGCUAACUACGUG